UACAGAGGGGGCAAGCGUUAUUCGGAAUUAUUGGGCGUAAAGGGCGCGUAGGCGGCCUGGCAAGUGGAAGGUGAAAUCCCUCGGCUUAACCGAGGAACUGCCCUCCAAACUGCUUGGCUUGAGUCCGGGAGAGGUGAGUGGAAUUCCUGGUGUAGCGGUGAAAUGCGCAGAUAUCAGGAGGAACACCGAUGGCGAAGGCAGCUCGCUGGGACGUGACUGACGCUGAGACGCGAAAGCGUGGGGAGCAAACAGG
rnacentral:rRNA from 1 species